CCUUGGAAGAGAGACCGUCGCUCUUACUUCAUCUAUGCUUCUGAUGAUAAACGUCUUAUCAAUCACAUUCUGUGCUGCACUGCUGUGUCUUGCAUGGUGCAAUCUAGUAAUGUAGUGGACGUUUCUUGUCUCUUGUUCAGAGAGCCGUGAUAUAUGACCAUUAUGAUUGUGUGUGACAACGUUCCGUUUCAAAUUAACAUGUUCCUAUAGAGAAACAUUUUGACUUUGAAGCGAGUGGGAAGUAUACAGAGAAAGGGGACAUAGAAAGAGUAUCCAGCCAACACAUUUAUAUUGGCUGAAAAAACAGAUCUAAGGAAGUACCAUUUGUGUUCAAGUCCUCUUGUCAAGUACAAGAACGGUGUCAUCUGGUUGUUGAGAAUGCUGUACCAAGCCAGAUGGUGUGCAGCUGGCUGCGUGAACUGUGAAGGGCCCGGUGAGACAUACAGUAUUCACCAUGACUGCAGUCCAAAACUGAAACAAGAACAAAAACACAUCCUCUCAAUUGUCCCAGCAGAUUUCAAACGACAGAUGGGGAAGUGAUGCUCGGGCCAUAACAUGAUGUAUACGUGC